UACGGAGGGGGCUAGCGUUGUUCGGAAUUACUGGGCGUAAAGCGCACGUAGGCGGCUUUGUAAGUUAGAGGUGAAAGCCCAGGGCUUAACCCUGGAAUUGCCUUUAAGACUGCAUCGCUAGAAUCGUGGAGAGGUGAGUGGAAUUCCGAGUGUAGAGGUGAAAUUCGUAGAUAUUCGCAAGAACACCAGUGGCGAAGGCGGCUCACUGGCCCGAUACUGACGCUGAGGUGCGAAAGCGUGGGGAGCAAACAGG
rnacentral:rRNA from 1 species